GCUGGGAUGCCCGAGUGGUCUAAGGGGCCAGACUCAAGUAAAAUUUGCUUCUUGACAAAAAUUCAAGAUUUCUGGUAGACAACGUCUGCGUGGGUUCGAACCCCACUUUCAGCA
rnacentral:tRNA from 2 species